CAGCAGCCGCGGUAAUACGUAGGGCGCAAGCGUUAUCCGGAAUUAUUGGGCGUAAAGAGCUCGUAGGCGGUUUGUCGCGUCUGCCGUGAAAGUCCGGGGCUCAACCCCGGAUCUGCGGUGGGUACGGGCAGACUAGAGUGAUGUAGGGGAGACUGGAAUUCCUGGUGUAGCGGUGAAAUGCGCAGAUAUCAGGAGGAACACCGAUGGCGAAGGCAGGUCUCUGGGCAUUAACUGACGCUGAGGAGCGAAAGCAUGGGGAGCGAACAGGAUUAGAUACCCGGGUAGUCCCUGUCUCUUAUAC
rnacentral:rRNA from 1 species